ensembl:miRNA
AUUAGGUUGAUGCAAAAGUAAUUGCAGUUUUUGCUAUUAUUUUCAAUGGCAAAGCCUGCAAUGACUUUUUCACCAACCUAGAUA